rnacentral:ncRNA from 1 species
UAUUAAACUUAAUUUUAAUUUAAUAUUAUAAAAAGAUAUAAAAAGUAUAAAAUAAGUAAAAGCUUUAAUAUUAAUAAAAUACUACUAUUUUUAUUAUUUUUUUACUUAUUUAAUAAAGUAAAGUUAAACUUUUAUUUAAUUUUUAAUAUUAAAGUCUUUUAUAAGUUAACUUAAAUUAAAAAUAUUAUUAAGUAAAAAGUUUAGCUAAAGUAAUAUAUUUAUUAAACUAUAAUAUAAAUAUUUUAAGAAAAGUUUAUAAAUAAUAGAAAUUUCUAAUAAAAUAAAAAGAUAAAAGUUUUUUUAAUUUUAAUUUUUAAUAUAAAUAUAAACUAUAAAAGUAUAGUUUAUUAAUCUUUUAAACUUUUAAAAUUUAAAGUUAAAAGUAUUAGAAAAGUUACUAUA